rnacentral:rRNA from 1 species
AGAGUUUGAUCCUGGCUCAGGAUGAACGCUAGCGGCAGGCCUAAUACAUGCAAGACGAACGGUAAGUUGAGUAGCAAUACUUAGCCAAGAGUGUCGUACGGGUGCGUAACACGUAUGCAACCUACCCUAUACAGGAGGAUAGCCUAGGGAAACCUGGAUUAACCCUUCAUAGUAUUAUUGGAUGGCAUCAUUUGAUAAUUAAAACUGAGGUGGUAUAGGAUGGGCAUGCGUCUGAUUAGUUAGUUGGCGGGGUAAUGGCCCACCAAGACGAUGAUCAGUAGGGGUUCUGAGAGGAAGAUCCCCCACACUGGCACUGAGAUACGGGCCAGACUCCUACGGGAGGCAGCAGUAGGGAAUAUUGGUCAAUGGAUGCAAGUCUGAACCAGCCAUGCCGCGUGCAGGAAGAAGGCCUUCUGGGUUGUAAACUGCUUUUGCCAGGGGAUAAAAUUUCCAUGCGUGGAAAACUGAAGGUACCUGGUGAAUAAGCCACGGCUAACUACGUG